rnacentral:ncRNA from 2 species
AUAACUAGAUGUCGUACUGGUCUUUCAGUCCAAACACAAGAUGUUGGGAUAUGAGAGCCAAGAGGGAACCCGGUGGGAAUCCGGGACUGUCCCGCAGCGGUAUGGGGAAACGACCGGCGACACACGCACUGGCCACUGGCUGGGAAGCGUCGCCCAGUAGGAGAUCGAACGAUCACGUCCCCGAGUCCGAAGACCUGCCAGUACCCGGGCUGUGAC